rnacentral:rRNA from 1 species
CUUGCACCUCUUGAGAGCGGCGGACGGGUGAGUAAUGCCUAGGAAUCUGCCUGGUAGUGGGGGAUAACGCUCGGAAACGGACGCUAAUACCGCAUACGUCCUACGGGAGAAAGCAGGGGACCUUCGGGCCUUGCGCUAUCAGAUGAGCCUAGGUCGGAUUAGCUAGUUGGUGAGGUAAUGGCUCACCAAGGCGACGAUCCGUAACUGGUCUGAGAGGAUGAUCAGUCACACUGGAACUGAGACACGGUCCAGACUCCUACGGGAGGCAGCAGUGGGGAAUAUUGGACAAUGGGCGAAAGCCGAUCCAGCCAUGCCGCGUGUGUGAAGAAGGUCUUCGGAUUGUAAAGCACUUUAAGUUGGGAGGAAGGGCAUUAACCUAAUACGUUAGUGUUUUGACGUUACCGACAGAAUAAGCACCGGCUAACUCUGUGCCAGCAGCCGCGGUAAUACAGAGGGUGCAAGCGUUAAUCGGAAUUACUGGGCGUAAAGCGCGCGUAGGUGGUUCGUUAAGUUGGAUGUGAAAUCCCCGGGCUCAACCUGGGAACUGCAUUCAAAACUGUCGAGCUAGAGUAUGGUAGAGGGUGGUGGAAUUUCCUGUGUAGCGGUGAAAUGCGUAGAUAUAGGAAGGAACACCAGUGGCGAAGGCGACCACCUGGACUGAUACUGACACUGAGGUGCGAAAGCGUGGGGAGCAA